AACGAACGCUGGCGGCGUGGAUAAGACAUGCAAGUCGAACGGGACAGUCUUGUAGCAAUAUGAGACUGUUCAGUGGCGAACGGGUGCGUAACACGUGGGUCACAUUCCGGGAAGUGAGAAAUAGCCCAGGGAAACUUGGAUUAAUAUCUCAUGUGGUCGCAAGACUAAAGGCGCAAGCCGCUUCCUGAUUGGCCCGCGGCCUAUCAGCUAGUUGGUGAGGUAAUGGCUCACCAAGGCAACGACGGGUAGCUGGUCUGAGAGGACGACCAGCCACACUGGAACUGAGACACGGUCCAGACACCUACGGGUGGCAGCAGUCGAGAAUCUUUCACAAUGGGCGAAAGCCUGAUGGAGCGACGCCGCGUGGAGGUUAAGGUCUUCGGAUUGUAAACUCCUGUCAUGCGAGAACAAAGCCCGCAAGGGUCUGAUAGUAUCGCAAGAGGAAGAGACGGCUAACUCUGUGCCAGCAGCCGCGGU
rnacentral:rRNA from 1 species